rnacentral:rRNA from 1 species
GAGUUUGAUCCUGGCUCAGAUUGAACGCUGGCGGCAUGCCUUACACAUGCAAGUCGAACGGCAGCAUGAUCUAGCUUGCUAGAUUGAUGGCGAGUGGCGAACGGGUGAGUAAUACAUCGGAACGUGCCCUGUAGUGGGGGUAACUAGUCGAAAGAUUAGCUAAUACCGCAUACGACCUGAGGGUGAAAGUGGGGGACCGCAAGGCCUCAUGCUAUAGGAGCGGCCGAUGUCUGAUUAGCUAGUUGGUGGGUAAAGGCCCACCAAGGCGACGAUCAGUAGCUGGUCUGAGAGGACGAUCAGCCACACUGGGACUGAGACACGGCCCAGACUCCUACGGGAGGCAGCAGUGGGGAAUUUGGACAAUGGGCGAAAGCCUGAUCCAGCAAUGCCGCGUGUGUGAAGAAGGCCUCGGUUGUAAGUA